UACGUAGGCAGCGAGCGUUGUUCGGAGUUACUGGGCGUAAAGGGUGUGUAGGCGGUUGUUUAAGUUUGGUGUGAAAUCUCCCGGCUCAACUGGGAGGGUGCGCCGAAUACUGAGCGACUAGAGUGCGGGAGAGGAAAGUGGAAUUCCUGGUGUAGCGGUGAAAUGCGUAGAUAUCAGGAGGAACACCGGUGGUGUAGACGGCUUUCUGAACCGUAACUGACGCUGAGACACGAAAGCGUGGGUAGCAAACAGG
rnacentral:rRNA from 1 species